AACAGGAUGAGGACCCAGUCGGGGAGAGGCAGAAAGCCGUCGGGUCAAACUCCAAGGCAUUCUGGCUGACCUGCGGGAUGUGGAUGGGCUGCCCCCAAAAGUGACUGGCCCGCCUCCUGGCACACCCCAGCCCCGGCCACACGAAGCUGUGAUUCUUCAUCUUGUCCUCUCCCUGUCUCUCUCUCUCGCUCUAUCUCUUUCUCUGCCUCUCUCUGUCAUUCUCUCUCUCCCUGGCCCUCUCUGCCCCUCCCUCCCUUCCCCCUACCAGGUUCCUUUGGCUUCUCCUCAGACGUCUUCAUCAUGGACACUAUCGGGGGCGGGGAGGUGAGCCUGGGGGACUUGGCAGAUCUCACCGUCACCAACGACAACGACCUCAGCUGCGAUCUGUCUGACAGCAAAGAUGCUUUUAAAAAGACGUGGAACCCCAAGUUCACCCUGCGCUCGCACUAUGACGGCAUUCGUUCCCUGGCCUUCCACCACAGCCAGUCGGCUCUGCUCACCGCCUCCGAGGAUGGCACACUCAAGCUCUGGAACCUGCAGAAGGCGGUCACG
rnacentral:sRNA from 1 species